CCCGUCCCUCUUGACUAGUGUCUCUGACAGCCUCUCUGCUGUUUCUAACUGGAUGGCUGCCCACUUCCUUAAACUAAACUUGACCAAAACUGAAAUUCCUCCCUCAAGUGUUGUUACUCCUGUGUCUGUCUCCCUCCAAGUCAACGGUGCUACCAUCAGCUCCACCACGCAGGCUCGCUGCCUAGGUGUUCUCUUUGACUCCGACCUCUCCUUCAAGCCUCAUGUUCAAUCUAUCGCCAAAUCCUGUCAUUUCCAUCUCAAAAACAUUGCGCGCAUCCACCCCUACUUAACGCCAGAUGCGACUAAGGUGUUUGUCCAUUCCACUGUCCUUUCUCGCCUUGACUACUGUAAUCCACUUCUCAGUGGUCUUACGUGCACCCAA